rnacentral:rRNA from 1 species
UACAGAGGGUGCAAGCGUUAUCCGGAUUCACUGGGUUUAAAGGGUGCGUAGGCGGACAGGUAAGUCAGUGGUGAAAUCUCCGAGCUUAACUCGGAAACUGCCUUUGAUACUCUCUGUCUUGAAUAUGGUGGAGGUAAGCGGAAUAUGUCAUGUAGCGGUGAAAUGCUUAGAGAUGACAUAGAACACCUAUUGCGAAGGCAGCUUACUACGCCUAUAUUGACGCUGAGGCACGAAAGCGUGGGGAUCAAACAGG